UAGCUAGUUGGUGGGGUAAAGGCCUACCAAGGCGACGAUCGGUAGCUGUUCUGAGAGGAAGAUCAGCCACACUGGGACUGAGACACGGCCCAGACUCCUACGGGAGGCAGCAGUGGGGAAUAUUGGACAAUGGGGGGAACCCUGAUCCAGCGAUGCCGCGUGUGUGAAGAAGGCCUGAGGGUUGUAAAGCACUAUCAGCGGGGAGGAGGGUUGAUUGGUUAAGAGCUGAUUGAUUGGACGUUACCCGCAGAAGAAGCACCGGCUAACUCCGUGCCAGCAGCCGCGGUAAUACGGAGGGUGCGAGCGUUAAUCGGAAUUACUGGGCGUAAAGGGUGCGUAGGUGGUUGUAUAAGUUGUCUGCGAAAUCCCUGGGCUCAACCUGGGCAGGUCAGAUAAAACUGUACGACUCGAGUAUAGGAGAGGGUAGUGGAAUUUCCGGUGUAGCGGUGAAAUGCGUAGAGAUCGGAAGGAACACCAGUGGCGAAGGCGGCUACCUGGCCUGAUACUGACACUGAGGAACGAAAGCGUGGGGAGCAAACAGGAUUAGAUACCCCGGUAGUCCACGCUGUAAACGAUGUCAACUAGUUGUUGGCCAUAUGAAGAUGGUUAGUGACGG
rnacentral:rRNA from 1 species